rnacentral:rRNA from 1 species
CACGUAGGCGGCUUUUUAAGUCAGAGGUGAAAUCCCGGGGCUCAACCCCGGAACUGCCUUUGAAACUGGGAAGCUAGAAUCUUGGAGAGGCGAGUGGAAUUCCGAGUGUAGAGGUGAAAUUCGUAGAUAUUCGGAAGAACAUCAGUGGCGAAGGCGACUCGCUGGACAAGUAUUGACGCUGAGGUGCGAAAGCGUGGGGAGCAAACA